rfam:Moorella glycerini strain NMP genome assembly, contig: M_glycerini_NMP_DRAFT_scaffold-34
CAGAGUUUUAAACCGCUCGCCGCAGGUUUUAAAACCCUUCUAACAGGUACCUGGCGGCGGCGAGUCUUAGCUUGGAG